UACGUAGGGGGCAAGCGUUAUCCGGAAUUAUUGGGCGUAAAGAGCUCGUAGGCGGUUUGUCGCGUCUGCCGUGAAAGUCCGGGGCUCAACUCCGGAUCUGCGGUGGGUACGGGCAGACUAGAGUGGCAGUAGGGGAGACUGGAAUUCCUGGUGUAGCGGUGAAAUGCGCAGAUAUCAGGAGGAACACCGAUGGCGAAGGCAGGUCUCUGGGCUGUAACUGACGCUGAGGAGCGAAAGCAUGGGGGAGCGAACAGG
rnacentral:rRNA from 1 species